GUCCAGACUCCUACGGGAGGCAGCAGUAGGGAAUUUUGCGCAAUGGGCGAAAGCCUGACGCAGCAACGCCGCGUGAUCGAGACGCCCUUCGGGGUGUAAAGAUCUGUCAGUGGGGACGAAACUUGACGGUACCCACAGAGGAAGCACCGGCUAACUCCGUGCCAGCAGCCGCGGUAAUACGGGGGGUGCGAGCGUUAUCCGGAUUUAUUGGGUUUAAAGGGUGCGUAGGCGGAAUGCCAAGUCAGCGGUAAAAUCGCGGGGCACAACCUCGCUCCGCCGUUGAAACUGGCAGUCUCGAGCUGGAGAGAAGUAUGCGGAAUGCGCGGUGUAGCGGUGAAAUGCAUAGAUAUCGCGCAGAACUCCGAUUGCGAAGGCAGCAUGCCGGCUCCACACUGACGCUGAGGCACGAAAGCGUGGGUAUCGAACAGGAUUAGAUACCCGAGUA
rnacentral:rRNA from 1 species